rnacentral:rRNA from 1 species
UGGGGAAUCUUGCACAAUGGGGGCAACCCUGCUGCAGCGACGCCGCGUGAGCGAUGAAGCCCUUCGGGGCGUAAAGCUCUUUCGACCGGAACGAUAAUGACGGUACCGGGAGAAGAAGCUGCGGCUAACUACGUGCCAGCAGCCGCGGUAAUACGUAGGCAGCAAGCGUUGUUCGGAGUUACUGGGCGUAAAGAGUGCGUAGGCGGUUUUCUAAGUUCGGUGUGAAAUCUCCCGGCUUAACUGGGAGGGUGCGCCGAAGACUGGGAAGCUGGAGUGUGGGAAAGNCAGGCGGAAUUCCUGGUGUAGCGGUGAGAUGCGUAGAUAUCAGGAGGAACACCGGCGGUGUAGACGGCUUGCUAGACCAUAACUGACGCUGAGGCACGAAAGCGUGGGUAGCAAACA